UGGGGAAUAUUGGGCAAUGGGGCGAAAGCCUGACCCAGCAACGCCGCGUGAGGGAAGAAGGUUUUCGGAUUGUAAACCUCUGUCCUUGGGGACGAAGGAAGUGACGGUACCCAAGGAGGAAGCCCCGGCUAACUACGUGCCAGCAGCCGCGGUAAUACGUAGGGGGCGAGCGUUGUCCGGAAUGACUGGGCGUAAAGGGCGCGUAGGCGGCUUGAUAAGUUAGAAGUGAAAGUCCUGCUUUCAAGGUGGGAAUUGCUUUUAAUACUGUUGAGCUUGAGUGCAGAAGAGGUAAGCGGAAUUCCAAGUGUAGCGGUGAAAUGCGUAGAUAUUAGGAGGAACAUCGGUGGCGAAGGCGGCUUACUGGGCUUUACUGACGCUGAGGCUCGAAAGCGUGGGGAGCAAACAGGAUUAGAUACCCUGGUAGU
rnacentral:rRNA from 1 species